rnacentral:rRNA from 1 species
UACGGAAGGUGCGAGCGUUAUCCGGAUUCACUGGGUUUAAAGGGUGCGUAGGUGGGCAGGUAAGUCAGUGGUGAAAUCUCCGGGCUUAACCCGGAAACUGCCAUUGAUACUAUCAGUCUUGAAUACCGUGGAGGUAAGCGGAAUAUGUCACGUAGCGGUGAAAUGCUUAGAUAUGACAUAGAACACCAAUUGCGAAGGCAGCUUACUACCCGAAUAUUGACACUGAGGCACGAAAGCGUGGGGAUCAAACAGG